rnacentral:tRNA from 1 species
AUAUAUAUAGUUUAAAAAAAACAUUUCAUUUUCAUUGAAAAAUUAGAAUAAUCUUAUAUAUA